CAUUUAACAUAAAAAAUAAAUAAAAAUCACAGGCGCGAUAUUAUUCAAAAGCAACGACGGGGCUCGAUUGUGUCGGUCGACGGGCACAUUUUGAUACCGGUGAAAUAUUGCUGCAUGUCCGUUUGAUUUUCUAUUUAUUUUUUGUGUGUGUGACGGCUGCGUGGGGAGCUGAGGAGCAGAGCGAUUGGCGCCACUUUCAAAUUCUCCACUGACACAGAAUGAGAGUCCGGCUUCAAAUACAUUUUACACACCACUUAAUUUCCUCCUUUUCAUAUUUACUGUAAAACGAGGAGUAACUUAACACAAUUUUCUGUUGGACAUUUUUUUUUCUGCGGAAGAGUUUAAUGUGUGACCCUCGGCAGGCCUGCAGAGUGUGUGCAGUGUGAGCCAGUAAGUCUGAUGGACUCAUGGUCUCAGUGUGUCCAGGGUACGCUCUAGCAGCACAUCAUGUUUUGCAGAUAUGUGCUGAUUCACUCCAAAUCAUUAUGUGCUGCCACCGUGAGCCCUGGGAUUCAGCUCAAACUUGACAUAUCUUACACUGCAGUAACUCUUGUUCCUACUUCUUGUCUUCUUAAAUUUCAGAGCUGAUUUAUGUGUUCUCUCUAUGUGUGGAUGUGUGUGGAUAUGUGUCUGCUCUGUGUAAGCAGCUUCAUCUGCAUUGCUAUGUGAUUAUUGUGUUGAAUAUUGUCCAAAUUCUUUUUGACAAGUUUGAUUAAUUUUCUUCUAAAUCCUUUGUAGAAAACAGCUUUCUGACCAUUGUAAGGCGUAGCAGCAGCAUCAAGCUGUGUAAAAUCAAUGUUGAGGGCAUCAAAAUUAAAUGACUCUCCACCCAUCUAAUCGUUGUAGUUGCUCCACAGUGGACGUCUUAAGCAAGUUUUGUCUUUGUCUUUUUCAAGUGUUUAUCCAUUAUCUUCUUUAGCAUUUCUUAAUUUUUGUACCCUGAUAUGGUAAUAAUAAUGGUCCAAAAUUAUGUUUAAUUGCACACUUUUUACUGGAAAAUGUAACAUUUUCUUGGGAUCUUAUUGUGUUAAUAUUUUGUCAAAAUACCAGUAAUCAUCUCUACAAUAUUAUUAUAUCGAAGUACACUGUAUUUGGUCAUAAAUAUCUGUCAUCUGUCAUCAAGCCCUAUUCCUAAUUUAUGAAGUGCUUUAGAGGAGAUUUCAAAAUGUUAAUUUAUGUGUAUUGUGUGUCAAAAUAUAACCUAAAAUAUCACAAUAUUAUUUUAAGGCUAUAUUUCCCAGCUCAACAAUACUUUUGGUAUCACCACUGAAUGUUUUUGUGUGUGUGUGUGUGUUUGUGUGUGUGUGUUGUAGUGUUAUAUGUUGUGUAUAUAUGAGCCAUGUCAGCCAGUGACAAACUGGUUAACAUGUGAUCCUAUGUCCCUCACAGUUCCUGUCAUGGUGACUAACACUGCCCUAAAAAGGCAUUCAGUCUGAGCCUUUUCUGCACUUUUUGCUCAGAUCACUCAUCGCUUCCAAGUUAGAAAUUAGUAUAAAGUACAUUUGAAAAUUAGUAAAUUUGUAUUGAAAGCGAAAUGUAUAUGAUUUAGCUCGAUUUUGUUAAUUUGGACAAAAUGAGGUUGAAUGAAAGACAUUGACUGAAUGACUUGUCACAGUGGGCAUUUUUGAAAACUCAUUAAAAAGGUUCAGCAUAAAACCAAACAACCUGAAGACAGGAUUUAAAGUGGUGUAAUGAGUGACUGGAGUAAAAUGCUGUUCAGCUGACUAACUGUACUUACCAUUCUCCUACUGUGUGUGGGUUAGGGUUACCUUCACAAGGGCUACAGAAGGGAGACAGUUUUACUUUUCAUUAACAGUCAUUAAAAAAAUUGCCACAAACAUUUUGGUAACAAAAUUAACCAAGGUCAGAGUUUAUUGAAAUAAUAAUUUGUUGAACAUGAACUGCAUCUUACUGUUAACGCUUCUUGUGAGCUACAACCAAGGCCACCAGGGGUCGUAUGGUAAAAAAACAAAAGGUCUUGAAAUCUGGGUGAAUGGAUUAGGAAACCGUAAACACGGAUUGAUGAACUAAGAGCAAGGUUCAGGGGAAAGCUUGAAGUAAAAAUGGUGGUACAUGUAUCAGGCAUUCAGAGAACAAGCAGUCACCUCACUGUAUGCAGCACGCAGAAGAGGACAAUUUUUGGAGUAUCCCGUUUGCUAAAGCCAAUAAAUUAAUCCAUCCAUAUCAGAAGUAUCAGAAGAAAUUAGUCAUUUGUGUUCUUGAACUGCUCACAUUUUGAUGAAUAAUCUUUGCAAAAACACGAAUAUCAAAUGGUAUUGUUAAUAUUUUAUGAUAUCAAAGCACAGCUGCCUAAAUUUGGGCCCAUAAGGUUUGAUUUGGGCUGCCAGAUGUUUGUAGUAUAAAAAGAAACACCAAUAAAAACAUUUUGAAAUGAAUCACAGGUUAUCACUGUUACUAUUAUUAUUAAAAAUUUAAAAAUGCUCUUUGACAGAAGUUAGGCAAUUAAAACCAUUUUUGGGAUCUUAAUAAUAUAAGUUUUUGCUUAUUGCCAUGGCUCAUAACUAAGCUUUGCAGUUUUGACCCUCCAAAGUUAAAAAGUUACCCUGUCAUCACCCUGUGUUAAAGAAAUGUCGAUCAUUACACAGCUUUGUUAUCUUUGACAUAAACUAUUAAAAUGGAGGAAAGCAUAUCCACAUACAGUAUGUCUGACUAAAACCCCAAAUAAACGUGAUAUUGGAUAAUUGUGUAGUUUGUUACAAAAUGAUAGAAGAGCAAGUUGCUGAUCCAAGAGAAAAUACAAUAAGAUUGUGUGAACGAUGAACGAUUCAGACAAUGAAGGAAACAAAAAAAAAGAGCUGCAACACCUGUCAACAUGUUCAAGUUCUGACCAAUUACUCUUCCGCAGUAACAACUACAUUAUUACAUGAGACCACACACAUCUGCAGCCUUCAUUUCGAUGUCAACCAUACACCUGUAAAGUUUAGUGACUGCAUCUUGCACAGUUUUAAAACUAUCCCAUAUAAACACCUGGCAAAGUGCUCAAAACGGAUUCUUUGGUAGUCCCCCCACCACGUUAUUGUGUCAUUGUGAAGCAAUGACAAGGUGUGACAAGCAACAAGGUGAAAAUGUUACCAGCUGUGCGGCUGGUAAUAACAGUGAGGACACUUCAUGAGGACAUGUUUACUGGUACCAAAUAACAAAAGAUGUCCAUGGUAACUUUGGCUGAUAAAAAUAGAGAUGUUUUUUUCCAUCACAUCAUUGCUUUAAUGCGUCUAGCUCCCAGUGACUGACCCCAAGUGUCCGAGUGAUGAUGAGCGUUAGCAGAGCGGUGUAAGAUGUUGACCGUCACCAUGAGUGAGUUUCUCUAAAUGGCAAGAGGAAAUCUGGUCCCUUCAUUUUUUACUGAGAUGGCAGAAAUACAACCUAUUUAAAAGUUUUAACAUACAAUCAUACAUCGCAGAAAUGGCACAUCCUAGCUAAAAUAAAUAAGAACACGAUAAUUAGAUAAUCAAAACCUCUGCAACCCUGAACAUUAUAGUUUAAGUGCACUUCAUGAGUCAAUGGAUUCAUUUAUUUUGUAUCUCUAAUCAGUUGAUUUAGAUUAUAGGGGCCAUGGUUGUAACUCAUGCGCCCUCACACACAUUUGUUGAAAUGUAUACCAGUGUCCCUGUAUUACACAUUUAUGUGUAAAAUGUAUACAUAUUUUAAUGUUUGAAUUAAAACUUCCUGGCCAUUAGCAAUCAGUUAGUUCCCACUCUCCUCUCUACGUCACCAUGCAGCAGUAAUCAUCCAACAUAGCAGCAAAUAGAAGUUCUGCUCUUUGGCUUGAGUGGGCAGGGAAACCAGAACAUUUCUUUUCUCUUACUGCAUGAACGGAGGGAGGAGAGACAUGGGUUACUGACCAAACACUCUCUAACAGUGAUUACUGUUGGAAUAUAGAGCUUGAGUUAUCACUUGUUAUGAUAAAAAUAAAUCACUUACAGCAACUUAAUUACUUAAUUCUUCCCUUCACUGUAUGCAUGAAUAUUUUUGGACCUGGCUCGUCAAAGGUCUUCUUAAAAGUGAUUUUGCCUUGUUGCUAUUUCAUUACUUGACCAAAAGAAAUUCCUAGUACAAACUGAGUAUUCACUAACCAACAGGUAGGUACACGCUACAAAGAUAUAAAGCUGUAGUGAAUGAACAGUCUGAUACUUUUGAUGUGUUGUCGUCACACUGAGCCUAUCUUCAACAACACAGUGGAAGUACGUUUUUGGAUACUGUUGAAUUUGUGUGUGUGCGUGUGUGUGUGUGUGUGUGUGUGUGUGUGUGUGUGUGUGUUGAGACAGUGUGUCAGGCUGUAGCAGCACAUCAUUACUGGUAGUUCACUCUGCAUUACCAGUAUGAUAUG